UCUGACGACUAUAGCGAGGUGGUCCCACCCCUUCCCAUUCCGAACAGGGCCGUGAAACGCCUCAGCGCCGAUGAUAGUACGGUGUAUUCCGUGCGAAAGUAGGACAUCGUCAGGC
rfam:Betaproteobacteria bacterium SG8_41 WOR_8-12_871, whole genome shotgun sequence.